GUAGCACUCACUUCUGCAGCAAAUACUAAAAUUGGAACGACACAAAGAUUAGCAUGGCCCCUGCGUGAGGAUGACACCCAAACGGUGAAGUGCUCCGUAUUUGG
ensembl:snRNA U6 U6 spliceosomal RNA